rnacentral:rRNA from 1 species
UACGUAGGUGGCAAGCGUUGUCCGGAAUUAUUGGGCGUAAAGCGCGCGCAGGCGGCCUUUUAAGUCUGAUGUGAAAGCCCACGGCUCAACCGUGGAAGGUCAUUGGAAACUGAGAGGCUUGAGUACAGAAGAGGAAAGCGGAAUUCCACGUGUAGCGGUGAAAUGCGUAGAGAUGUGGAGGAACACCAGUGGCGAAGGCGGCUUUCUGGUCUGUAACUGACGCUGAGGAGCGAAAGCGUGGGGAGCGAACAGG